rnacentral:lncRNA from 1 species
CUUAUUUUGUAUUUCAUAGAUUGAGGACAUGAAGGGGCUGUCUGGUCAACAGCAGAGUUGGGAUUUGAAUCCAAGGACAUUUGCCUUGAAAGCUCAAGUCCAUUUCACUCUACAGAAAGUCCAGACUCACCUACUUGAGGGAUGGGGGAGCAGACGUGCCCACAGCCCUUCCUCACGCACUGAUGUCCACUCCCACAGUCCUUGUCUUCUCUGCAUUGGUGCUCGCAGGCCUCUCUUUGCUGGGCUGGGGAGCAGACACGGCCACAUCCAUUGCUGGUGCAUCGUCUUCCUUCCCCACAGUCCUGGUCUACCUUGCACUCCGUCACACAGAUACCUACAUCUUGAGAAAAGACCGGGUUGAGAGGCUCACAUUAAACCAGUACUUAUCUUAUAAAUGACCCUGACCUCAUAAUAGCGAUUUGCCUUUUGAUCUAAUACAUCACUGUUUAAACAUGAUCUCACACAGAACCUCAUCUG